CUGCUGUAUUUUUCAAUUUCAGUUUGCAGUCUUUGAACCAGGUACUAGGAAUACAGGAACUGCAAUAGCUGGACGAAACAUUGCAAACCCAGUCGCUAUGUUGGUUGCAUCUUGUGACAUGUUACAACAUUUAGGUCUCCACAACCAUGCAAAUUUGAUAUUGAAUGCAAUUGAAAAGACAUUAAAUGUGGAUAUGAUUCACACUCAAGAUUUGGGUGGCCAGGCAACAAGCCUGGAUAUCAUACAAAAUAUAAUCAAGUCUAUCCAAGAGAGCACAGCAUCGGGCAAGUGGUAAAAGAAACAUUUCUGAUAUCUUGCUUGCAGUUUUGCCUAAUGGAGCGGAGAUGUAAAUAGAAGGCGGGAAGUCGGCGUCGGGAUUCAGUACCAAUUGAUAAUCACAGCCAAGUUGUGGGUAAAUCACGCGAAACGAACGUUUCGGAAGACUGCAAGACAGCCGCCAUGAUUUUAGCUUUCAUUAUGGAGCGGCCUUCGAUAUUCCCUGAAUCUGCACAUGGAAUAUUUUUUUUAAUUAGAGAAAAUGCGAUGGGUAACGGAUAGUCUGUUGAUGAAUCACGCACGCUGGUUAGUCGGAGGAUCAACGAGUAUAGUAGUGCUACCUAUACACAUUAGCUAGAUUUUCAUUGUGCAGAGAACGAAUGUUGUCAAUUUAGAGCAACAGGAAAUAUUGUUCGUGUAAGAUAGUAGUGUUUUUUAUUGCAGAUGGUUUAUUUCACAAUCAUUCGGCGAUUCUAAUUUAUGUAUGUUAAUAUGUACCAUAGUCUCUUGUAGCAAUCAUUAGGCCUGGCAUAGGCCUAUCAUAUGUGGACAUCUAUGCGAGAAAACUCGAGUGCAUGAGAUUGAAAAAGUAUUUUUUCAGUUUUAGUCUCAUUUUUGCUUGUUUGAAAAGUUCCUGUUCCAUAAGUGCGACGCAGAAGUGCUUUAAUCAAUGCAAAAGUGCUUUAAUCAAUGCAAUAGUUUUUGUCAAUAUAUAGUGGAAAGGACGUUAAACGUUAUGAUGAUAGAUUUUGUGGCACUUUUAGUUGGCUUUAAUAGAUGUCCUUGUAUAUACUCUGCUCUCAUGUAUGCAUGGUAAUAAAAAUUGUUGCCAAA